rnacentral:lncRNA from 1 species
AGACAAUUGGACUUAGAAUUUAGGCAACACUCCCUAUGCAAAGGACUUGGCCAAUGCCAACUUUCAUGUAACCAAGUGCUUGUGAUUUGAAACUUCAUCUGAUACAUCAUUGAAGACCCAUUUAAGUUCAUCUGCAACAUGAUCAUUAUGAAGUUGUUAUUUUGAAAUUGUGCUUUUUGCCAUUUUGGAAUUCAUCUGAUGCAUGGGA